UACGGGGGGGGCAAGCGUUGUUCGGAAUUACUGGGCGUAAAGGGCUCGUAGGUGGCCAACUAAGUCAGACGUGAAAUCCCUCGGCUUAACCGGGAACUGCGUCUGAUACUGGAUGGCUUGAGUUGGGAGAGGGAUGCGGAAUUCCAGGUGUAGCGGUGAAAUGCGUAGAUAUCUGGAGGAAUACCGGUGGCGAAGGCGGCC
rnacentral:rRNA from 1 species